rnacentral:rRNA from 1 species
AUGUUUUUUCGAGCUAGUACAGAUAAAGAUCUAGCCGCAAACAUAAGGGUCACCGGUCAUGUCAGGAAUGCCAUUGUAUUAUUACCAGAAACUACUGGAUACUUCACAUCAAGAUUGACCAUGUCCCUUAUUGCUUCAGACAUUAGUUAUCUUCAUGUUGUUAUUAUACCUAGUGAUAGAGCUCCAUUGUUUCUUCAAAGGGACAAAUGGCAGAAAAUAGCAUGGUUGACACCUUUUGUUCAUACGGAGGUUGAUGUUGGCUUGGUGAUCGAAGACUUGGUCUCUUCCAUAAUAUUUUGUAGUGGUCAUGUGAUCAAACAUUUGGUCUCUUAG